AAAUGCUUUUAAGUGAAUUCAUAAUCACCACAGAAAUUUGAAGAACAAGCUGUGUAAGAUACAGCAUUUGCUCAUUGUGUGCACACAAUCCUUGACUCCGUGUGGAAUCUGGAGUCCAGGACAACUGUGAGGCCCUGAAUGAUCCACUGCUGCCACGGGAGAAGGUACAGGGCAUGGGGAAGAGGAUGUGGCUAUGCAGUUUGAAGAUCAGAGGUUCAAAUAAGGAAGGUCCACCCAUGCAUAAAAGUGAUGAGGUGCAAAGUCUCCAUCUUUAUUCCCAAAUUGGACUUGAACAUCAAGCUUGAAGCCUGAACCUUGUUAUGAUGAGAUGCUGUGAGGCCGUACAAAGAAGAAGACAAGAUGAAGUCACACGGCCUUUCCCUGGACAUUGAGGCUUGAAUCCUGCUACCACAACUUUGGUGUUUUCCUCUGGACACAACUUCGCCAGCAAGGCAUGGGCCUUUGGACUUGAACUGGAAUUUACACAGCUGGCUUUCUUGAGUCUCCAACUUACAGACAGCAGACCAUUG